AGCAGCCGCGGUAAUUCCAGCUCCAAUAGCGUAUAUUAAAGUUGUUGCAGUUAAAAAGCUCGUAGUUGAAUUUCGGGGUCAGUAGGUUGGUCAUGCCACUGGUAUGUACUGAUCUUACUGAUUCCUCCUUCCUGAUGAACCGUAAUGCCAUUAAUUUGGUGUUGCGGGGAGACUGGACUGUUACUUUGAAAAAUUAGAGUGUUUAAAGCAGGCUAACGCUUGAAUACAUUAGCAUGGAAUAAUGAAAUAGGACGUUCGAUCCUAUUUUGUUGGUUUCUAGGAUUGACGUAAUGAUUAAUAGGGAUAGUUGGGGGCAUUAGUAUUCAAUUGUCAGAGGUGAAAUUCUUGGAUUUAUUGAAGACUAACUACUGCGAAAGCAUUUGCCAAGGAUGUUUUCAUUAAUCAAGAACGAAAGUUAGGGGAUCGAAGACGAUCAGAUACCGUCGUAGU
rnacentral:rRNA from 1 species